CGGGCUGAGGCGAGGCGAAGCACCGGCCCCGGCCCCGCGGGUCUGGUGUGUGCACCUGCAGGGACGACGGGCAGGGACUGGAGAAAGCCUACACCAAAUACAGGAUCAGCAAAAGUGUCCAGCUGUCUCAAGGUAAGUCUGCCUAGUGCAGUACCCCGUUCCUGGCAGGAGCCAGCACCAUGCCAGAAGGGUUGGAAAAGACAGAAAGAAUCCUGCAGCAUUCAGAAGAAACAUCUAUGCUGGCUUUUUGAUCUUUGGAAGCCCGAUAUUGAUCGAAGUCUGGGAGCAUGGAAUCUAACAUCUCUUUCACAGAAUGCACCAGAAAGUGGCUGUUCCAAAGCAGGAAAGUCAACAUUUCCUCAAAACUCCCCACUGUUAUUGAAAAACUGGAACCCUCAUAACCAGAGAAGUGAGAAGAAACAACCUACACUGCACAGAAGACAAAACUGAAAUACAGUGGUUGAAGCUCAGCAUCUUUCUGUUGCACAACUUUGAGAAAAACUGAGCACACACAAUUCCUUCUACUGUUGCUUUCCUAUUUGUCAUUCA